CACAGGUUUUAUAUUAACAAGGUGGCUGUUUGUACAUGUGGGUGUUUCACUAGUAAGCCAACAUUAUAACACUGCUUUAGAUACUAUAAACUCCAGUUUCUAUCGGAUUAUUAUAUACAGUACAAAACUAGUAUAGAAAACACAUAGGAAAUAUCACAGUGUUUUAGAACAUUAUAAUAGUAAUUUGUGAAACAAUAAGGUGCAUUUUCUGCAAAAGCAGAAUUAAUCUUGGUUCUAAAGAACUAUAUUCUACUAUGGCUGGGAGCAAACAUUACAAUUAGAAGGGAAAUAAUAUUAGGCUGUAGUUCUCACUUUCUUAUUCUGUGAACAAUCAAUACAAGAAUUUAGGAUGUGAUCAGUAUUAGGAGGUGAUUUCAGUAUUUUAAAAUUCAUUCUUUCAGAAAUGUCCUUGAACUCAUGUCUAUAAUUAUACCUUCAUAUAUUGUUUUGUCCUUGAACAAGUAUCUGCUAGGUACCAUAAAUGUUCAUUUUCCCCUCUGGCAGAUGCAUCUAUUUAAUUUAAUAUACAAUUAAUUGCAUUUCUCUGACAGGACAGAAAUAUUGAAGAAAUUGUUUUAUAUUAGAUUCUGAACAACAGACCUCUGUGAUCCUUAUGUUUAAAAAAAUUGAUGUAUCAAUAUGUAACUUUCCAGUAUACUUGAAACUACUGCUGUGUUAUAAAAUGCAUUUAAUUCAGCAACUUAGGACAUUGUGGAAUAUAUUAAAGGAUCUGGCAAAGUGUUUGUUGGGUUUAGACGCAAUUGCUAUAUGUCUAUUUUUGGAUGUACCUAUAAGUACUUAGAAAUAAUUUGUUGAGUUGUUUCCAAGAUAGCCCAAGGCCUUUUGCUUCUACAAAAAGGCAUUUGUAGAACAAAGCAUCAGCCAAUUACCUUGCAAAAAAGUAAUUGAAAAUUUGAAUUAUAUAAUACAGAACUAGUGUUAGAUUUAGCAUUCUAAUGUACAUUAGUAGGAUUUUAAAAUAAGAGCUAAUUCUUAUUAUUUGACUACUCAUUGAUUGCUUCUACAGUUAUAUAUGUAUAUAUAUAUGUUUAUUUAAGUAUACAUAUAUAAUUAUAGGCAUAUAUAUUUUUAUUAAAUAUUGUUAAUUUUGACUUGUGCCCCAAUGCAAAUCUAUUACAAGGGAUGUAAUUUUAUCAUGAAUAUUAUUCUUACUGUUGUUAAUCAUGUGAACAGUCACAUUAAUACUAAAUCUUAGAUAUGAAUAGAUAUGUUAGUAAGGCUAACUACAAAUUAUUCUUUUAUAGUCACAAUUUUAUGGUCACAAUUAAUUGCCUUAGCCUACUACUAGUACUACAUAUAACAUAUUCAUAGAUUGUUUAACAAGGUAAUAAAACCCUGUUUCUAUAAUUAGUUCUGUAAAAAUAUUUGUGAAUGAAGCAAAUUCUGUGCUAAUAUUUUGGAAAUUUUCCAUUCCUAUCAUGGUUUAAGAUGUAGCAUUGCCAUACAAGCCCUGAGUAUUUCUGGCAUAUGGCUUUUGGUAUAAUUCAAUCAUAAAAUAUUUAUUUUCUGGGUUUUUGUCAAUGUAAGUUUGCUAUAAUCAUCCAAAAGAAUAUAGCACUAACUUACUCAUUCUUCACACUGAUGAUAUUAUCUAAUGCCUCUUUCACUAUCCUAUUUCAAUUUGCAAAUAGGUAACGGGGAUCUGCCCCAUCCGACUAUCUGACAUAAGGCCAUCAGAUAUUCAAAGAUGAAAAGAGUGUUGCCUUUUUGGAAAAAAAUGUCAUGAUAGAGGUCUCUGUCAGAGUGAUCCUAGACCUAAUUUUUGCCUUUGGUCACCACAAUCUUACUUCUAUGAAGGUCUGAAUAAAAAUGAAAUUUAAUUGAAGAAAAGCACAGAGUUGCUUACAACUGUUGCUACCUUCAGAGGAUAUCUCUAAAAGGGAAAGGUAAAAAAAAGAGAGAGAGAGAGAUUUGUUCAUUUAAAGAAAUCUACUCUGAAGAGUUAUUAUUCAUAUAAUCAAAUGCAUUUAUCAUUGACAAAUGGAGAUUAAGAACCCUAAAGAAACCUAAGCUGAAAUUAUAGCUCCUGUUAAGACCAAAUUAUCACAAAAAUAAUUUACUGAUGAUUGCCAACAGGCAUAAGUAGCAUAUAGUUCCUUUAGACUAAUUCUAUUGCAUUUUCUACUUCAUAUAUUAUACAUAAUAACAAUGCACAAAGGUAAACACCAUAAAUUAACAUUACAGACAACAUAUAGUAAAACAUCAACCAAAACUGCAUUUUCUACUAGAUUCCUAUAUGCCUUAUGUUUACAUCAAUACACAUUAAGAUGUUUCAUAUUUAAUGUCCAUAAGAAAUUGUCUUCUUCCUCCCAUCACCACUCUCUCUUUAGAAUAUUGAUAUUGCAAAGGAAAGACAGAAAAAUGAGGUUAUUUUGCAAGUUAAUAAAGGCCUAAGUCUGUAGAUCUAUUAUAAAUAUUCAGAUGAUUCAGUCAUGUUUAUAAAACUGGGGAUUAUCAGAUCUGAAACAAACAAAUAAAAAGGUCUAGGAAGAGUUUCUAGUUUGAUUGAGAGUGACAAAAAAUGAUGCUUUGGCCUCUGGGGAAAUUGAGGGGUACAGAGGAGGAAUCCAAUGUCUUUCUCUUAGCAAUCCAUUUGGACCAUCAGUAACAGCUUCCAGGAUACCUUUCCCAGAAAUCAGGUAAAACUAUUACUGUGAAAGCAGACACAGUCUAUUUGUGGGAAAUUGCAAGAAGGAGAAGAAAAAAAUGUAGAGGGAAGGAGGAAAAUGAAUAAAGAUCUGAAUUCAACCGUUUAAGUACAAUAUACAAUGAAAACUCAACCUGUGUUUUAAAAUGGGCAUAAUUUACAGUGAUGUCUUUAAAAUCACAAGACCCUUCCAUUUUAAAGGGAAAGGAAUCAAAUGUCCUCUCUAGUGAUCUAGAAGGAAUUAUAAACGUGAGGUGACAGACUUUCCUUGUUAAUAAAGAAAGAAAGAGAAAAAUAGCAGUGUGCUCAAAAAUGGUCCCAUCUCAGAAGUACUUCACAUAUAGUUGAGAAGUUUAAACUGAAACUACAUAAUGGGAAGCACUUCAAGUGACUAAUUUCAGUACAAUCCCAUUUUGUUCUCCUAGGGCAUCUUCUUUUUUUGAGAAAACGUUACUGCAGUAGAUCUACCCUCACCUCACUGGAAUGAUAGUCAGAUUUCUGCAAAAUAUAUCCCACAAAAGAACCUAAGAAAUACAAGAACAUUAGAAUCAAUUAUUAAUUGUGUGACUUUGAGCUGUAAAACAUGGGUGGAAAUAUCUACCCUAUUUUCCUCCCAGGUUGUUAUGACCAAAUUUACUAAUAUAUAUAUGAAAGUGCCUCAUAAAUGAAGUUCUCAUGAUUUUUUAUUAUCCUUUAAGGAGAUAGAGUGAAAUAUGGUAUGGGCACUGAGACAUUUAAUUUAGUAAUUUAGAAAAUUUUAGAAUUAUAUAAAAUAAGAAGCCAAGUUUUCUUUAUUGAGGAAACAAGUAGACAAGUUUUAUUUUCUCAUUUGUAUGAAUUCAGGUUUUAGCAGGAGCUAAUGCCACAUUUGAACUUGAAUCCAUACAAAUGGGAAAAUAUGGCAAGAUACCAAGUAGAGAAUGACCCAAAAGAUGAAAACAUUCCCUAUCCUCAAAGUGUUCAUAUUUUAUUGGAAAAGAAUUACUUGACUCCAAAAGUACUGGGUUUUUUUGGGGGGAGGGGGUAAGGCAAAUAGGAUUAAGUGUCUUGCCCAGAGUCACACAGCUAAUACGUAUUAGGUAUCUGAGGUCAAAAUUGAACUCAGGACCUCUUGAUGAUUCCAGAGCUGGUGCUCUAUCCACUGCACCAUCUAGCCCCUGAAUUUUUUUGAUCAGACAAUGAGAACUUUCCCUAUUUGCCCAAACAAUGAGGAAAAUCAAAUUUAAUUUCACCAUUGCACUGGAGAAACAACACUUUCCAAUUACCUAAAGCAUCUUCUUUACUUUUUUACGAAUGGUUUUGGAUUCUGUUAAUUGUUUUGUUUAAAUUGUCCUGAUUCAUUCUAGCUCCGAUAGCUCAAAAUCUUUGCAAAUAGGAGGGGAAUAAAUCAUUAAAUAUAAAUAAAUAAGUAAAUACCUGACAGGGGCUUCCUGAAACUUCUGAAAUACAAAGUGGGUUUCUCUUGACUGUGAGCCAUAAUGUUUUUCAUGGUUCUAUUUCCUUUCUCUGUUUUUAUCUACUUUGUCCAUUUAAAUCUUACUAACUCGUUUGGAUCAGGUAGAGUUCUGAAUAGUAAGCUAAUUAUUUAAAGGUGAUACAGACCCACAAUUGGUAACUAAUCCAGGUCUCCAAACAGGAACAUGUCAAAUUUGGGCUUUGAUUACCUGUCAGACAACUCUCUGGUCUGAAUUAGCCUCAGCAGCCAAAUUCAAUGAAUGCCUGUUUCAGGGAUCCCCUUUCGCUGGCACAGUUGGGAAAAGGGGUACUGUUCUAUGUAGUUUAAUACAUGCUUAUUAAACUGAAUGGAAUUGAAUGGCUCUGCAGAAUGGGUGUGCAGCCUUCUAGUAGGUUCUGGUACAGACUGAAUAUUUUGCUCCCAGAAAAACAAAUAUUUGCAUUUUAACAGAUCUCCAUCUAUGCAGGAAUGAUUUCUGCCUAAUACAAAUAUCCUCUGUGAGAGUAAGAAAAUUGUGUGUAUACUAUGCACAAACAGAAACUCUAUGGAAACAAGACAGGAGUGAGGAACCAAAGUUAAAAAGCUUAUUAUGAGCAUGCACAGUGUGGGGAAGGGAGAUCUCAUCAUACUUUUGGACUUUUUUUUAAAUCCCAAGAGCAGUGUCAUGUUUAGAAUAUUGAAUACACUAAGGAGACUGGCAUUUCAUGGAAAAGCAUAUUUGAGAGCUUAAAUAAAUA
rnacentral:lncRNA from 1 species